rnacentral:rRNA from 1 species
CUAGGCUUGACAUGCACGGAAAUCUCGCAGAGAUGCGGGGUUCGUAAGGGUCGUGCACAGGUGGUGCAUGGUUGUCGUUAGCUCGUGUCGUGAGAUGUUGGGUUAAGUCCCGCAACGAGCGCAACCCUCGUCGUCGGUUAUCGGUGUCCGAGGAAACUGCCACGAUCAACGUGGAGGAAGGUGGGGAUGACGUCAAGUCAGCACGGCCCUGACGUCCUGGGCGACACACACGCUACAAUGGCUGGGACAAUGAGAUGCUACCUUGUGGUACAAACACAUGAGAAGGAUGCCAACCUCACAAACCCGGCCCCAGUUCGGAUUGCAGGCUGCAACCCGCCUGCAUGAAGGAGGAAUCGCUAGUAAUCGCCGGUCAGCCACACGGCGGUGAAUACGUUCCC